rnacentral:rRNA from 1 species
GAUGAACGCUGGCGGCGUGCCUAAUACAUGCAAGUCGAGCGAACAGACGAGGAGCUUGCUCCUCUGACGUUAGCGGCGGACGGGUGAGUAACACGUGGAUAACCUACCUAUAAGACUGGGAUAACUUCGGGAAACCGGAGCUAAUACCGGAUAAUAUAUUGAACCGCAUGGUUCAAUAGUGAAAGACGGUUUUGCUGUCACUUAUAGAUGGAUCCGCGCCGCAUUAGCUAGGUGGUAAGGUAACGGCUUACCAAGGCAACGAUGCGUAGCCGACCUGAGAGGGUGAUCGGCCACUCUGGAACUGUGACACGGUCCAGACUCCUACGGGAGGCAGCAGUAGGGAAUCUUCCGCAAUGGGCGAAAGCCUGACGGAGCAGCGCCGCGUGAGUGAUGAAGGUCUUCGGACCGUAAAACUCUCUUAUUAGGGAAGAACAAAUGUGUAAGUAACUAUGCACGUCUUGACGGUACCUAAUCAGAAAGCCACGGCUAACUACGUG